UACGGAGGGAGCUAGCGUUGUUCGGAAUUACUGGGGGUAAAGCGCACGUAGGCGGCUUUGUAAGUUAGAGGUGAAAGCCCGGAGCUCAACUCCGGAAUUGCCUUUAAGACUGCAUCGCUUGAAUCCAGGAGAGGUGAGUGGAAUUCCGAGUGUAGAGGUGAAAUUCGUAGAUAUUCGGAAGAACACCAGUGGCGAAGGCGGCUCACUGGACUGGUAUUGACGCUGAGGUGCGAAAGCGUGGGGAGCAAACAGG
rnacentral:rRNA from 1 species